AUUUUAGAAUCUUUCCGAGCCAUAGCAACCUAAAAAGAGAAGUUUAUUCUCUUCAUGGUGCUAUGGCCGAUAGGGUACAGAUUUGGGAAACCGCUGUGCCUCCCGCUUUGGAAAGGAAAGAUUCUUCUAAAACA
rnacentral:ncRNA from 2 species